CAGUGCAAUCUCCCCAUUCAGUGCAAUCAUGCAAUCUCCAUCUUCCACCGUUGGAUCGAGAAAUGGACGUCCGAGAUUCGUCCACGUCACCAUGAGUUAAAAAUUAACUCGCAGAUUCACCCCUGAGUUAAAAUUUAAUGAGAGUUAAUUUUUUAACUCAUAGUGACGUGGACGAAUCUCGGACGUCCAUUUCUCGAUCCAACGGUGGAAGAUGGAGAUUGCAUGAUUGCACUGAAUGGGGAGAUUGCAC
rnacentral:misc_RNA from 1 species